GCCUUCCUAGGCCUCAUUUCCUAUUGCCGAGCAUGGAUCCCAGAAGCCUCGCUCCUUAUGCAACCUCUUUAUGAUGCCCUCAAGUCAGACCCAUUUUGCUUGUCCACAGAAGCCCUUGACAACUUCUGUUCUCUCAAAAGUGCUAUUGCUUCUGCUCCUGCUCUUGGCCUACCAGACUAUACCAAACCCUUCAAACUGUUUGUUUCUGAAAGACAAGGCCAUGCAACAGGAGUACUCACUCAGGCCCAUGGUCCUGGAGGCCGCCAAAGGCCUAUUGGAUUUUUCUCCUGCCAACUGGAUAUUGUGGCCAGAGGACGUCCCUCUUGCCUUCGGGCCGUCUUUGCUGCCAGAGAGCUCAUUGAAAGAACUGGAGAUCUUGUCCUUGGCCACCCCCUGGUUGUCUUGGCCCCCCAUGACAUUUCUGCCAUAGUCAACCAGGUCCAGCUUAAGCAUGUUACUCCUGCCAGGCAUCUUCGCCUUCAAUGUCAUCUUUUGUUGCCUGACAACAUUACCCUCCAAAGAUGUCAAGUUCUCAAUCCGUCCACUCUUCUGCCACUCCCUGAGGGGGGUGUAUACUACGGAUUCAUCAUGGACGAAAUUUAUGUUUUUCUUCUCACUGGCACCAUCAAGAAGGAAAUGCAUCCCAACCUAUCCUUUCAUGAUGGACAAGCACUCCUUCAUGACGGAGCAAGACAUGCCUUCUGUACCAUGUGGUACAAACCAAACAUCACUCCUGAACCCUGCUAUGAAGAUGAACUCUAUAAGCUGGUUGAAGUAAAACUCACUGCACAAGACUUCUACUGUGAUUCUGAAGGCAACAGUAUGGUCUUGAUUCAUCUACCUCCGGAACUCAAGCAUUUGUACCGUCAUUGGGACACUGCCAUUCCACAUGUCCCUGUGACCAAGUUGAAAACAAUAUCAUGGAAUGAUCUUGGGCCUAUGGCAAAAGCAUGGGCCACUAUGGACGAAUCACAGCUACAGGAAAAUGGUGUUGUCAAAUAUCCAACAACUGACCACCUAAAAGCAUGGCCACGUCAUUUCCUGGAGAAUGAGUUCCAAGAUUUAAGCAUAGUGAAUGACUACGACCCAGAUACACCUCAUGACUGUUUUGAACAGAUGAAAAUGGAAACGACACAUCUACCAACUGUGCAUGAAGACCCAUUGGUAGAUCCCGAUCUCACCCUGUUUGUGGACGGCUCAAGAUAUGCUGAUGAAGAAGGAAGAUACCAUACAGGAUAUGCCGUAACCACAACAGAUGAAAUUGUCAAAUCAUCAUCUUUACCAUCAACUAUGUCUGCACAAGAAGCUGAAUUGCAAGCCCUGACUUCAGCAUGCAAGAUCUCUGAAGGAAAGCGCGCCAAUAUCUACACGGAUUCAAGAUAUGCACUGGGCGUGGCUCACGACUUCAGAUUAAUUUGGAAAACAAGAGGAUUUCUUACCACCGCCGGUACACCAAUCAAGCACGGUUCCGCAAUCAAGGAGCUGAUGGACGCCCUCCUACUCCCAGAAGAAGUGGCUAUUUUGAAGAUAAAAGCACAUGGGAAGUUGGACUCAGAUGAAGCAAAGGGCAACCAUCUAGCUGAUCAAGCUGCAAAACAAGCUGCAAGAGAACCACAGGAAGUGGAAAGAAGAGUGUCCGGAAAUGAAGAGACUCCCAUAUUUACUCUGCAGACUCUUCCAACUGACCUGAAAAUUCUGCGGGAACAACAGGCUACAGUUGCCCCUGAAGAAAUACAGAAGUGGAAACAGAAAGGGGCAGUUCUAAGAGAUGGAGUGUAUUACAACAAUCUCAGAUUCUGCCUUCCUAAGAAUCUAUACCCAGCAGUUGUUCAGUGGGCACAUGGCCCUGCACACCUAUCAAAAGAUUUGAUGAUUGCCC